rnacentral:rRNA from 1 species
AUGAUCAAAGAGAUAUGGAAGCAAAGUGGUGUUUCAUGGGACGAUCGACAGUGCAAGAUUCUAGCGGAUCAACCUCUUUGUAAAAACAUCAUCAUAUCACAUCCUAAAGCUGGAAAGUUCAAGACAAAAGCCUUCCCUCUUUUUGAAGCUUUGAGAGAAUUGCAUGAUGGCAAACUGCAAAAGGGACAUAUAACUUCACCUCUAUUGAGUCAUCACAUUGCUCAACCCAAUCACAUAUUGAGAAUAUUGGAGGAGCUGGUGAGAAUUAAGGAGAAAUAUCAACUGAUGGUGAGAAUCUUGGAGGAGAAAGGGUGCAAAUUGAUGAAGAUGUUGAGGAGAAAUGGAGAAGAGAAAGAACCAAAGAGAUGGAGGGGGGCGAAUGGUGAUGUGGCUGCAAUGAUGGAGAAGUACUUGGAAAUGAGGGCAAAGCAGGUGGAGGAUGAGAGGAGUAAGCCAAGGGUUGUGGAUGAGUACUCUAUCAAAAACUGCGUUGAUCUGCUGAAAACAAUAGACAUCACACCUAAAAGAAGAAGUCAAGGCUUUGUGAGUCUUCAAGAUCCCCGAGAACCAAGAGAUUUUCAUGAGUGCCAGACCAGAGACUGCUCUUAUGUGCCUGAGAGCUGA